CACUAUUUCCAUUUCAUAGAGAACAGAAGCCAGGAAGGAUCAAGCCCUUUAGGCAGGUCACUUGGCCAUCAUGCUGUCUAGCUUGAGGGUCAGUGUGCAGGUGCUGUCUGGGCAAGAGGAAUCUUCAGAGUCCUGAGCAGAAGCUGGACACCCUCAGGGAGGACAGGAGGCCGGCAGACCCAAGAAAGACCCCCAUCGAUGCUGGUGGAAGUUCAGGUAUGCAUUCAGAAACCGCCAGCUCUUU
rnacentral:lncRNA from 1 species